AUGAAAGACAAAAAAUGAACUAUAAAGGCAAUAAUGACUAUAUGGUUUCCAGUAAAUAAUAACAUAUUUCUACUCUCUAUUAUAAAAUAUCCUCAGAGUGUUACUUUUAAAUGGAAUAUUGAAAGCUUCUCGACAUUACAACAAUCUGAAGAAUAUUCAGAUUCAUUCUGUGUCGGGAAGGAGGUUGUGUUAUAUCCUAAAGGAGAUUCAAGUGGCAAUAAUCUGUCACUCUUUGUAGGCUGACUUUCCAGUGGUGAACUUCAAGAAAGAGUGUUUGCAGAAUAUAAGCUGAUAGUGAAAGAUCAGGUCCACAGGAACCAUCAUGAGCGUACAGGAAGAGGUUGAAGUUCUGGAAUAAAAGCUUCAAUGAUUUAAACAUGGCUACUAAUGGAUUGCUGUAUGCAUGGAGAGUGGUGCUCUCUUUUUAUUAUUUUGUUACGGUUCACUUAUUUCAUUUAUCCUAACUAGAUUUUGAAGGACAUCCAAUGCUUUAAAUAUGACUAGUAAUGGAGUUCUGUAUGCAUGGAGGCUGGUGCUCUCUUUCAGCUAUAACCCAUUUGAAGCUAGCUAGUACCGGAACUUAUCGCUUUCCCGGUGUUGAUUUGAUCACUUUGAAGUCGCCAACCGACCAGCCGAGUCAACUGCUGUGCGAAUGGCAGAAUCGACUUCGGCAACAAAUAUUUGAUGCCGGUGUAAAGAUACCAUCAAAAGCUAUGAAAGUUGUUGUAGUGGGUAUGCAACAAAGGGCUGCAAAUGGAGGAUUAAAGGGUGGAUUUGUUGGUUUCAAUUGCAGAGUUUAUGGUGGUUAUUUGAGGAAGGUUAGACAGCAAAAAGGUGGUCUUCUUUAGAUAGUUUUAGAGAGGUGACGCAAAAUUUCUUUAUUAUAAUUAUUUUGAUAAAUUUUUAUUAUUUUCAUCAUCCCAAAUACAAAUGGAAA